rnacentral:rRNA from 1 species
UACGUAGGGGGCAAGCGUUGUCCGGAAUUAUUGGGCGUAAAGCGCGCGCAGGCGGUCUUUUAAGUCUGAUGUGAAAGCCCACGGCUCAACCGUGGAGGGUCAUUGGAAACUGGGAGACUUGAGUGUAGGAGAGGAAAGUGGAAUUCCACGUGUAGCGGAUGAAAUGCGUAGAGAUGUGGAGGAACACCAGUGGCGAAGGCGACUUUCUGGCCUAUAACUGACGCUGAGGCGCGAAAGCGUGGGGAGCAAACAGG